UCACGAAUUACAUGGUGCUGGAUAAGAUGUUUUAGGGUAUCGAUAAGAUUACGAAAAUUAGAGAAUAGAACCAACGUUUUCCGUAAAAAUGGUGACGUGUCGUGAAUGACGUCACACAAAGGGACCUUUGUGGUCAAGUGAGGGGCGACCGCACAAAGACCUGGUUACGCCCAGAGCAAGGUGACAUAAGGCGAGCCGAGGGGAACACGAGCAGGAGAUUCUAUCUGUCUUAUCUGAGGUGAGAGUAGUGUGUUUCAUUUAGUGACAGUGUAAGAGUAUUUCAACAGGGUCAAUAUUUCAAUUAAUAUAGAGAGGGAUAAUGAUGAUAAUUGCCACAAAGAAAUAUAUAAUAGGGAGACUUAUACUGGUAAAUCUUGCUUCAGCCACCAUCUUCCUCGCUUCUUGCCUCAGGCGCCUUUUACAUCGCCAUAAGGGUGACUUCCCCUCAUGACACGUUCACCAAAUUAAACCCGCUAAAAGAGCGGGUUCAAAGGCUGAGUUUGAAGACUGAGUUUGGAGACUGAGUUCAAAAGCUGAAUUUAAGGCCGGAACUCCAGACCGGAUGCUCAGGUCAUGAUUGCUCAAGACUAACACGUCACGACCAACUCUUAACGAAGAAGAAAGAAGAUUGAAGACAGAAAUCUUCAGAGAGUGUCAGAGUGAUUGCUAUGAGAGAUAUGUAUAAGAAGUUAUUUUUGUAUGUGUUAAGUUAUUAUGUGAUUUAAUAUACAAUAUAAGGCAUGAUUAGCCUAGUUUCAUUGUAAUUCCUUUUCACAGUAAUUAAAACUGCAGGUGUAAACGGAUAACCUUAACACGUCACGUUAGCAAGUUAUUUUUAUGAUAAAAGAGGUUAUCCUGAUUUAAAUUACCCAUACUUUUAACCCUAGAUAUUUUGGGAUAUAAAAGAGAAAUACCCAAAGUUAAAUUGGGCACUACACUGGUGGCUCAUGCGGUGAGAUAUUAAACUGCAGUUUCAUUUACUGUGAAAGGAACAAUAUUUUAGUUGAUAGAAUUAUAGAAGUUAUCUAAAAUGUCUGAUAAUGAAGUUACCAUAAAUCUUGGAGAGCCUCAAGGCAAUCCUACAAUUCAGGAAGUUCAUAUGGAGAUAGGAACAAUUCACAAUGAAAUUGCACUUAUAUUACGAAGGUUAGAUGAGGAGACUGAAAAAAGAACAGAAUUAGAGAGGGCUGUGAAGGACUUAACUUCUGAAGUUCGUUCAUUAGCUUCGGAGGUUGCAACAAAGCCUAAUCUUAACCUGACAGGUCCAGUAACAAGUACCCCGACCCCUGUAAACCCAUAUUAUAACAGUAAUGACAUAGAGAAACUAUGUCUAAAAGAUUUACAUCACGUUUGGGCCUCUAUGCAUAUAAAAGAUUUCGUAGAUCAGAUUAAACGCCUAGGAUUCCCAGACGAACACUGUAAGAAUAUUGCAAUCACUCGCAUGGACAAGGAGCUGAGGUUGUUCAUUGUAGGUGAAAUGCAGAAAUUCCCUAAUGGCGGAACAAUUGACGACAUGGAGAAUAUUUUAAGUUGUCAGUUUAGUAGAAGAUACGAUGCUAUAGACGCUUAUAGAGAGUUAUAUAACUUAUCAUAUAACUUGGAUGAUGAUCCUCGGGCUUUUGUCAAUCAAUUCAUUGUGAAGUUUAGGACCAUUCGGAGUUUUUUCCCAAACACCCCAGCACCAAACGAGGAAGAUAUCUUGCACGAAAUUAUGAUGGAAAAUCUUCCCGCUGAGAUUAAGGCCGCAGUAAAAGUAUGUGCUAGGAGGGGCAUGGGUGAUGAUUUCCUGAGAGAACUCGAGAAAGAAAGAGUAUUUUGGAGGUCGAGAGUAAAUAAGGUGGACGUAAGAGCAAAGGGAAAUCCGGAAUGGACUAGAGUGUGGGUUUGCGGUUGGUGUCAGGACGGAAGUAAGCAUCUAAGAAUAAACUGUCCACGUAAGCCAGAGGCCGGCAGUUGUUUUGAUUGUUUGGCCCCGAAACGAAGGAAAGGACAUGCUGGAUGUCCUGGGAGACAGGACGCGGUCAGGAGGGAUAGGAACACUAGUAAUGAAAAUGUCUUUGAUGGUACUGUUAUUGAUCGAUCCUCUGAAAAGCUAAGAACUUUCAUUGAAAGAGAAGAUAUUUUAGAUAAAAUCGAGGAAAAAUACCUUACGGCUGAAGAUGAAAGAGAGAUACUAACUGGCGUUAGAGUACGAAUCACUUCGAAAAGGUUUCAAGAUUUUGUAAUAACAGAGGAUACUUUGUCUUUCUUUGUAAGUUAGGUUGUAUGUUCAUUUGUUUGACUAUAAUCCAAGGAUUUACAUAGAAGAUAUUCUUUUUUUUAAUAUUAUACUCGUACUUGUUAAAACAAUCUCCUAUGCUUGGUUGCCCUAAGUAAUGCUGAUAAUGAUACCGAGAUGAUUACGUGACAUAUUUGAGCCUCCCACGAGGUACCAUGAGAGAGUAGAAGCCCCACAUGGAGGGAGAGGUAUCUGAUGCUUUUGAGCCUCCCACGAGGUACCAUGAGAGGGUAGAAGUCCCGCAUGGAGGGAGAGGUAUCUGAUGCUUUUGAGCCUCCCACGAGGUACCAUGAGAGGGUAGAAGUCCCGCAUGGAGGGAGAGGUAUCUGAUGCUUUUGAGCCUCCCACGAGGUACCAUGAGAGGGUAGAAGUCCCGCAUGGAGGGAGAGGACUGUAGUCUCUAAUGAAUGGGCGGUGUAGAAGUUAAGUUAUGUCAAAUCGAGCGCUCCCUAAACUUACGGGUGUCUUUCACUAUGUUCUUCUUGAGAUUUAGGGAUUUUCGGCAAAGUACAGUCAAAUUAUUAGGGAUAUAGGAUAAGGAGUUGUAAGGGAAGUGUCAACCUGAAGGUCCCCACCCAGAAUACAUGAUACCGGGAAGAUCUGUUCAGAGCAUUCCGAGCCAGAGUAUUGUGUAAUAUUCUCAAAUUAGCAGAAUUAAUGUUUGGUCAUUAUUCCCUAAACCUGUAACCUGGAUUCUAUAUAGGGCGCGGGGAAGUUGACACGACCCCUCACAUCUGUUAAGACCUGUCACAUCUUACGUAGGUGAAACUCUCUGGACCAGCUUACGUGGAGUCCCCUGGUAUGUGUACAAAGUUCAUAAGACGCAGCAUGUAGUCUUUACUAUUUUCUAGCCUCCUCGAUACGGAGAAUGUAUAUCAUUCCGAAGAGGAAGGAUAGGAGUGUUGGAAAUGGUUGUUUAAUGUCACUACGGUAGAAAAAUCAGCUGAGGAGAGUGUAAUCAUAUUCGGCUAGAAGGACAACUGUUGUUAUGUAGACGAAUUUCGGUCUACCCAAACCCGAGGAGCGUAGUAGUGACCGGGAUGUUAUGAAGAGGAUUAAUGACCGAAAUCCGUCUAAGAAAUUGAAAUUGAUGUGUUUUUUCCACUAUAUGUAACCGAGGAUAUUGUCAAUAUAUGUAAGUAACUCUAUGUAUCAUUUACUUCCUGUAAGACUUUCUCCUGCAUAUUGUAAUCAGGAGUAUCCAUAUGAUUGCUAUUUAAGUAUCACUUAGUUUAUAUAACCUCAUGUAAAUUGUACCAAGGUUAUGUAGUAGUGUAGAAUAAGGAUUAUUAUAAGAAAAACGGAAAAUUGUAAUCUACUGAG
rnacentral:misc_RNA from 1 species